UGGGGAAUAUUGGACAAUGGGGGAAACCCUGAUCCAGCAAUGCCGCGUGAGUGAAGAAGGCCUUAGGGUUGUAAAGCUCUUUCGCCCGCGAAGAUAAUGACGGUAGCGGGAGAAGAAGCCCCGGCUAACUCCGUGCCAGCAGCCGCGGCAAUACGGAGGGGGCUAGCGUUGUUCGGAAUUACUGGGCGUAAAGCGUACGUAGGCGGAUGCGCAAGUUGGGGGUGAAAUCCCGGGGCUUAACCUCGGAAUUGCCCUCAAAACUGCACGUCUUGAGACCGAGAGAGGUAAGGGGAAUUCCUAGUGUAGAGGUGAAAUUCGUAGAUAUUAGGAAGAACACCAGUGGCGAAGGCGCCUUACUGACUCGGUACUGACGCUGAGGUACGAAAGCGUGGGGAGCAAACA
rnacentral:rRNA from 1 species